UACAGAGGGUGCGAGCGUUGUCCGGAAUUACUGGGCGUAAAGGGCGCGUAGGCGGCCCGAUAAGUAGGACGUGAAAUUCCGUGGCUUAACCACGGAACUGCGUUCUAGACUGUCAGGCUUGAGCACGGUAGAGGCAGAUGGAAUUCCCGGUGUAGCGGUGGAAUGCGUAGAGAUCGGGAAGAACACCAGUGGCGAAGGCGGUCUGCUGGGCCGUUGCUGACGCUGGAGGCGCGACAGCGUGGGGAGCAAACAGG
rnacentral:rRNA from 1 species